rnacentral:rRNA from 1 species
UCGAACGGAAAGGCCCCUUCGGGGGUACUCGAGUGGCGAACGGGUGAGUAACACGUGGGUAAUCUGCCCUGCACUUCGGGAUAAGCCUGGGAAACUGGGUCUAAUACCGGAUAGGACCUAGAGGCGCAUGCCUUGUGGUGGAAAGCUUUUGCGGUGUGGGAUGGGCCCGCGGCCUAUCAGCUUGUUGGUGGGGUGACGGCCUACCAAGGCGACGACGGGUAGCCGGCCUGAGAGGGUGUCCGGCCACACUGGGACUGAGAUACGGCCCAGACUCCUACGGGAGGCAGCAGUGGGGAAUAUUGCACAAUGGGCGCAAGCCUGAUGCAGCGACGCCGCGUGGGGGAUGACGGCCUUCGGGUUGUAAACCUCUUUCACCAUCGACGAAGGUCCGGGUUUUCUCGGAUUGACGGUAGGUGGAGAAGAAGCACCGGCCAACUACGUGCCAGCAGCCGCGGUAAUACGUAGGGUGCGAGCGUUGUCCGGAAUUACUGGGCGUAAAGAGCUCGUAGGUGGUUUGUCGCGUUGUUCGUGAAAUCUCACGGCUUAACUGUGAGCGUGCGGGCGAUACGGGCAGACUGGAGUACUGCAGGGGAGACUGGAAUUCCUGGUGUAGCGGUGGAAUGCGCAGAUAUCAGGAGGAACACCGGUGGCGAAGGCGGGUCUCUGGGCAGUAACUGACGCUGAGGAGCGAAAGCGUGGGGAGCGAACAGGAUUAGAUACCCUGGUAGUCCACGCCGUAAACGGUGGGUACUAGGUGUGGGUUU